rnacentral:rRNA from 1 species
CUAACAAGGAUUCCCCUAGUAACGGCGAGUGAAGAGGGAAGAGCUCAAAUUUUAAAUCUGCCUUGUUCCAAGGUCGAGUUGUAAUUUGAAGAAGCGUUUUCUUGGGCUCGCGGCCGGUAGAAGUUCUUUGGAACAGGACAUCAUAGAGGGUGACAAUCCCGUCCGUGACCGGUCGUGCGUUCAUCUAUGAUACGCUUUCAAAGAGUCGAGUUGUUUGGGAUUGCAGCUCCAAAUGGGUGGUAAACAUCACCUAAGGCUAAAUAUUGGCGAGAGACCGAUAGCGAACAAGUACCGUGAGGGAAAGAUGAAAAGAACUUUGAAAAGAGAGUUAAACAGCACGCGAAAUUGUUGAAAGGGAAACGAUUGAAGUCAGUCGUGCUGGCGCGAAAUCAACCCUCUCGUCUUGAGAUCACAUGGCGCGACGAGCCUCAAAACCGUCACGAAGCGUGAUCGCUUGAUGAAAAGGUGCACUUUCGUGUCAGCUGGUUAACAUCAAUUUCGAUCGUCAUAAAAAGGCUGGAGGGAUGUGGCUCCUUCGGGAGUGUUAUAACCUUUAGCGGAAUGUGGUGGUCGGGAUUGAGGAUUGCAACGAAUGCCUUCGGGGCUGUUCCACCUGGCUUCUCAUUGGUAUCCUGGUGACGACAGCUUGCUGACGUCGUUAGGAUCAGCUUCUGAACAGGCUAGAGUGUGAGCAAAUUCGUUAAGGAUGU